CGUAUUUCAGAAAACAUUGUUUACGCGGCCGACCUCCUUCGUGCCUGCCACGUCCGGAAAGCCCCCACGAUUGUGUUCAAAAUCGACUUUCGGAAGGCUUUCGACUCGGUUAACUGGUCCAGCCUCCUUUCCGUUCUCUCAGCCCGUGGAUUCAACUCCCGGUGGUGCGGUUGGAUCCGAGACAUUCUUUCUACAGGACACACCGCCGUCCUUCUCAACAGUAUCCCUGGGGACUGGAUCCUUUGCCGCAAUGGCCUCCGUCAAGGGGACGCGCUUUCGCCGUACCUUUUUAUUCUUGUCGCCGAUGUCCUCCAGCGUCUUAUUCGCUCGGCUUCCUCGGAUGGGAGGCUUGCUCACCCGAUUGACCCCUCGCUCCCCUGCCCUGUGCUCCAAUACGCCGACGACACCCUUAUCCUCUGCCGUGCGGACCCCCAGUCGGCGGCGACUCUCAAAACCAUCCUUGACUCUUUCGCCCUUGCUACCGGCCUGGCCAUCAACUUCCACAAGUCUGGGUUUAUUCCCAUGCACUGCCCCGACGAUCUGUCAGUCGCCAUGGUUACUACCCUCGGCUGUCCCAUCUCCUCCUUCCCUCAACCCUACCUGGGUCUCCCCCUCUCCCCCUGGAAACUUCCCAUCUCCGCUUACGACCCUCUUAUCCGCUCCUUUGACCGUUACCUCUCUGGUUGGCGUGCCCUCCUCCUGUCGUCAGGGGGUAGGAUGGUCCUUUGUAAUGCCGUUCUCAACAACCUCCCCACCUACUUCAUGUGCUCGUACUUGCUUCCCUCUGGUGUGAUUGAGUUGAUUGAUCGUAGGCGUCGUGCCUUUUUUUGGACCGGCAAGGAUACUUGCUCCGGUGCGCGUUGUCUAAUUGCUUGGGAUAAAGUGUGUGCAGAUGUGCAGGAAGGCGGCUUCGGGAUCCGGGAUCUCCGUCGGCAGAACAUGUGUCUGCUCCUCAACUUCGUCCACAAGCUUCAUCAACCCGACUGUCCGCCGUGGAAACGGUGGUUUCUCAGCACCACCAGGAGAGAUGUUGGCGACCCCUGCUCGGCUCCUUCUUUCCUUGGGGCCAUCAUUCUCAGCGGCCUCCCGACGUACAGGUCUAUCACCCGCGUGGAUCUCCGCGACGGGCGCGCCACCUCGUUCUGGCACGACCGUUGGCGGCCCGGCCGCGCCCUCUGCUUUGAGUACGCGGCAUUGUACUCUCACUCGACGCGCCCGAACGCCUCGGUGGCAGCAGUGUCCGCCGACGGUAUGCACCUCCAGAGGCGCCUCUCCUCCGUUGCCGCUUCCCAGCUUGCGGCUGUGCAGGCGAUCAUCAGUGACCUUGGGCUUGUGGACGCUCCGGAUCGUCGACUCAUGGCCUGGGGGGAGGACGUGGAGUUCAGCUCGCGCGCCGCGUUCAGGGUCAUGUCCCCCCACGGGGUGCUCUGCCAGUCUUCCAUCGACAUCUGGAGUUCGCGUCUCCCGCGGAAGAUCAAGAUCUUCGCGUGCCUUCUGGUCCGGGACCGCCUUAGUACCCGGAAGAACCUGCAUGCGAAGAGUUGCACCCCCUCCAGCACGUGCGCCUCCUGCCCCAACGAGGAGUCCACUUCUCACAUCUUCGCCGCCUGCGGUCGUGCGGUUUCGACCUGGACUCGCCUCGGUCUGGGCCCUUUCCCCUCGGUGGAUGCGAUCCUCGCCUCUCCCUCGCCGUCCGCCGACGUGGCUGCGUUGUGG
rnacentral:rRNA from 1 species